GACGAACCGAGCGAACGUUGUUCGGAAUCACUGGGCUUAAAGGGCGCGUAGGCGGGCUGACCAGUCCGGGGUGAAAGGCCGCGGCUCAACCGCGGCACGGCCUCGGAUACUGCCGGCCUCGAGGGGGGUAGGGGCACCUGGAACUGUGGGUGGAGCGGUGAAAUGCGUUGAUAUCCACAGGAACUCCGGUGGCGAAGGCGGCACGCUGGACCUUUUCUGACGCUGAGGCGCGAAAGCCAGGGGAGCAAACGGG
rnacentral:rRNA from 1 species